rnacentral:rRNA from 1 species
AUUGAACGCUGGCGGCAUGCCUUACACAUGCAAGUCGAACGGCAGCACGGGUGCUUGCACCUGGUGGCGAGUGGCGAACGGGUGAGUAAUACAUCGGAACAUGUCCUGUAGUGGGGGAUAGCCCGGCGAAAGCCGGAUUAAUACCGCAUACGAUCUACGGAUGAAAGCCGGGGACCUUCGGGCCUCGCGCUAUAGGGUUGGCCGAUGGCUGAUUAGCUAGUUGGUGGGGUAAAGGCCUACCAAGGCGACGAUCAGUAGCUGGUCUGAGAGGACGACCAGCCACACUGGGACUGAGACACGGCCCAGACUCCUACGGGAGGCAGCAGUGGGGAAUUUUGGACAAUGGGCGAAAGCCUGAUCCAGCAAUGCCGCGUGUGUGAAGAAGGCCUUCGGGUUGUAAAGCACUUUUGUCCGGAAAGAAAUCCUUGGCCCUAAUACGGUCGGGGGAUGACGGUACCGGAAGAAUAAGCACCGGCUAACUACGUG